AUUGAACGCUGGCGGCAGGCUUAACACAUGCAAGUCGAGCGGCGAUGAGGUGCUUGCACCUUAUCUUAGCGGCGGACGGGUGAGUAAUGCUUAGGAAUCUGCCUAUUAGUGGGGGACAACAUUCAGAAAGGAAUGCUAAUACCGCAUACGCCCUACGAGGGAAAGCAAGGGAUCUUCGGACCAUGCGCUAAUCGAUGAGCCUAAUUCGGAUUAGCUAGUUGGUGGGGUAAAGGCCUACCAAGGCGACGAUCUGUAGCGGGUAUGAGAGGAUGAUCCGCCACACUGGGACUGAGAUACGGCCCAGACUCCUACGGGAGGCAGCAGUGAGGAAUAUUGGACAAUGGGCGGAAGCCUGAUCCAGCCAUGCCGCGUGUGUGAAGAAGGCCUUUUGGUUGUAAAGCACUUUAAGCGAGGAGAAGGCUACCUGGAUUAAUACUCUAGGAUAGUGGACGUUACUCGCAGAAUAAGCACCGGCUAACUCUGUGCCAGCCGCCGCCGUAACAC
rnacentral:rRNA from 1 species